GAGUUUGAUCAUGGCUCAGAUUGAACGCUGGCGGCAGGCCUAACACAUGCAAGUCGAACGGUAACAGGAAACAGCUUGCUGUUUCGCUGACGAGUGGCGGACGGGUGAGUAAUGUCUGGGAAACUGCCUGAUGGAGGGGGAUAACUACUGGAAACGGUAGCUAAUACCGCAUAACGUCGCAAGACCAAAGAGGGGGACCUUCGGGCCUCUUGCCAUCAGAUGUGCCCAGAUGGGAUUAGCUAGUAGGUGGGGUAACGGCUCACCUAGGCGACGAUCCCUAGCUGGUCUGAGAGGAUGACCAGCCACACUGGAACUGAGACACGGUCCAGACUCCUACGGGAGGCAGCAGCGGGGAAUAUUGCACAAUGGGCGCAAGCCUGAUGCAGCCAUGCCGCGUGUAUGAAGAAGGCCUUCGGGUUGUAAAGUACUUUCAGCGGGGAGGAAGGGAGUAAAGUUAAUACCUUUGCUCAUUGACGUUACCCGCAGAAGAAGCACCGGCUAACUCCGUGCCAGCAGCCGCGGUAAUACGGAGGGUGCAAGCGUUAAUCGGAAUUACUGGGCGUAAAGCGCACGCAGGCGGUUUGUUAAGUCAGAUGUGAAAUCCCCGGGCUCAACCUGGGAACUGCAUCUGAUACUGGCAAGCUUGAGUCUCGUAGAGGGGGGUAGAAUUCCAGGUGUAGCGGUGAAAUGCGUAGAGAUCUGGAGGAAUACCGGUGGCGAAGGCGGCCCCCUGGACGAAGACUGACGCUCAGGUGCGAAAGCGUGGGGAGCAAACAGGAUUAGAUACCCUGGUAGUCCACGCCGUAAACGAUGUCGACUUGGAGGUUGUGCCCUUGAGGCGUGGCUUCCGGAGCUAACGCGUUAAGUCGACCGCCUGGGGAGUACGGCCGCAAGGUUAAAACUCAAAUGAAUUGACGGGGGCCCGCACAAGCGGUGGAGCAUGUGGUUUAAUUCGAUGCAACGCGAAGAACCUUACCUGGUCUUGACAUCCACGGAAGUUUUCAGAGAUGAGAAUGUGCCUUCGGGAACCGUGAGACAGGUGCUGCAUGGCUGUCGUCAGCUCGUGUUGUGAAAUGUUGGGUUAAGUCCCGCAACGAGCGCAACCCUUAUCCUUUGUUGCCAGCGGUCCGGCCGGGAACUCAAAGGAGACUGCCAGUGAUAAACUGGAGGAAGGUGGGGAUGACGUCAAGUCAUCAUGGCCCUUACGACCAGGGCUACACACGUGCUACAAUGGCGCAUACAAAGAGAAGCGACCUCGCGAGAGCAAGCGGACCUCAUAAAGUGCGUCGUAGUCCGGAUUGGAGUCUGCAACUCGACUCCAUGAAGUCGGAAUCGCUAGUAAUCGUGGAUCAGAAUGCCACGGUGAAUACGUUCCCGGGCCUUGUACACACCGCCCGUCACACCAUGGGAGUGGGUUGCAAAAGAAGUAGGUAGCUUAACCUUCGGGAGGGCGCUUACCACUUUGUGAUUCAUGACUGGGGUGAAGUCGUAACAAGGUAACCGUAGGGGAACCUGCGGUUG
rnacentral:rRNA from 1 species